AACGCACCUUGCACUCCUUGGUAUUCCGAGGAGUAUGCUUGUUUGAGAGUAAUGUAAUCAUCAAUUCAUCUUUACUUUUGUGAAGUUGGCUUGGAUUUGGGGAUUGCUGGCCUUUCAUUGGGUCUUGGCUUCCCUUGAAUGCAUUAGUUGAAUCAAGUUACAAUGUUACGUGUGGUGUGAUAAUAUCUUCACUGCAUAGUUGUAAUGAAGUUUGGCUUCUAACAGUCCUUCACUGGACAAUACUUUGAACAAUGUACCUCAAAUCAAGUAGGACUACCCGCUGAACUUAA
rnacentral:misc_RNA from 1 species